rnacentral:rRNA from 1 species
GAUGAACGCUAGCUACAGGCUUAACACAUGCAAGUCGAGGGACCGGCGUACGGGUUAGUAACGCGUCCCCAACCUUCCCAUUACUGUGGGAUAACCUGCCGAAAGGCAGACUAAUACCGCAUAGUAAUGGAUGGGGUUGCGUGUGAUUAGCUUGUUGGCGAGGUAACGGCCCACCAAGGCUAGUAUCAGUAGGGGUUCUGAGAGGAAGGUCCCGCACGUUGGAACUGAGACACGGUCCAAAAUGCUAGUGGACGCAACAGUGAGGAAUAUUGGUGAAUGGAGUGAAGUCGGAACCAGCCAAGUAGCGUGCAGAGUGACGGGCUAGGGGGUGUAAACUGCUGUUGUAUGGGGAUAGGUACCAUAUGAAUAAGGACCGGCUAAUUCCGUGCCAGCCGCCGCGGUAAUUC